CUUAUAUUCUGAACUGAGGGAUUUAAUGUUUCAUCUGGAACGUUACUGGUUACAGCCGCAUGUCCUUCUGUGAGGGUAUGCAAUGGCUGCAUUACGUGAACUGUCCGAAAAAGCUGAGUGGGAUGUACUGGCUGCGUAGACUGCAUUGUCCUCAAAACUUCUGAAGUCAAGCCAGGUGUCUGCUGCUGUACAACUUCUACGUGCUCCUUAAGCUUAGCAGGCUUUGAAUUUCCUGUUUUUAGAACUGUGGUGGAUCCUCCCUUUGUUCCUGUGUUUGCAGACGCUCUAGAUCUGCUCGACUGGUUUCUACUGGCCACAGGAGUUGAGAGCAAACUUGAAUCUGAUGAUUCAGUGCUAGGACUUGCAUCUUCAUCAUCUAUAUAGACGAGAUCUUUUGGCAUUUCCUUAAACUGAUACACUAGGCGCUGACCUUCUACUUUAGCCAGUAUUCCUCUUUGGUAAUAAUAUCUGAGAGCUCUACCCAUUGUUUCAUAAUUCAUGUCAGGUUUGUUUUUGUGCUUUCCCCACAACCUGGACACGGCCUUGGAAUCUACGAGUUUGAAAAUGCCCUUCUCUCUUUGAGUCCACUUGAUAUACUUAGGACACGUAGCUUUGUCCUGAAGCAGUGCUAGUAAAAACUCCCAGAGAUAAAUUGUGUUUCCCUUCCCAUCUUUGUUUUUCUUUUUCACAGAUAUGUUUGGCGUUGUUGUCGGGGACUCAGGACGAGAGGGUUUUGGCUUCUUCCCCUUUUUCUUCUUUGGUUGUUCAAAUUCCGGAGUCUCUGGUGACUCAGAGUAAGGGUCCGG
rnacentral:lncRNA from 1 species